UAUUAAAAAAUUCAUUUAUGCGUACUGUUAAAAAUUAACGUGGUUGAUAAAAUAAUCAAAUAAUGACAUGUGACAUGUCAAGUAUAUAUCAUGCUGACAUAUAUAGACUAACUUUUAAUAAUAAAAAUGGAUAAUUUUUUAAAA
rnacentral:pre_miRNA from 1 species